rnacentral:misc_RNA from 1 species
GAUGAAGAACGUAGUGAAAUGCGAUAACUAGUGUGAAUUGCAGAAUUCCGUGAAUCAUCGAGUCUUUGAACGCACAUUGCGCCCUUUGGUAUUCCGAAGGGCAUGCCUGUUCGAGCGUCAUUAUCAACCCUCAAGCCCGGCUUGCCGUUGGGUCCCGUAGGGGUGCGAAUCUCAACGGACCUCAAAGAUAGUGGCAGAGCCCGUACGGACCCUGGAUGCAGCGAGCUUUCUGGCACGCAUCACAGCAAUCCGCCGGCUCGGUCUUAACCGUCAAUUUUUUUUCACUGGUUGACCUCGGAUCAGGUAGGGAUACCCGCUGAACUUAAGCAUAUCAAAAAGCGGAGGA